rnacentral:pre_miRNA from 1 species
AUAAUACUCCCUCUGUCCGGAAUUACUUGUCAUCAAAAUGGAUGUGUCUAGAACUAAAAUACAUCUAGAUACAUCCAUUUCAAUGACAAGUAUUUUUGGACGGAGAGAGUAGUAG